rnacentral:rRNA from 1 species
GAUGAACGCUGGCGGCGUGCCUAAUACAUGCAAGUCGAGCGAACAGACGAGGAGCUUGCUCCUCUGACGUUAGCGGCGGACGGGUGAGUAACACGUGGAUAACCUACCUAUAAGACUGGGAUAACUUCGGGAAACCGGAGCUAAUACCGGAUAAUAUAUUGAACCGCAUGGUUCAAUAGUGAAAGGCGGUUUUGCUGUCACUUAUAGAUGGAUCCGCGCCGCAUUAGCUAGUUGGUAAGGUAACGGCUUACCAAGGCAACGAUGCGUAGCCGACCUGAGAGGGUGAUCGGCCACACUAGAACUGAGACACGGUCCAGACUCCUACGGGAGGCAGCAGUAGGGAAUCUUCCGCAAUGGGCGAAAGCCUGACGGAGCAACGCCGCGUGAGUGAUGAAGGUCUUCGGAUCGUAAAACUCUGUUAUUAGGGAAGAACAAAUGUGUAAGUAACUAUGCACGUCUUGACGGUACCUAAUCAGAAAGCCACGGCUAACUACGUG